AUCACGCUCGCGCUAAGUGAAUCUCUGUGUUGCUCAAGUUUUACAGAGAAAAUCAAAGCUAAGCUGCUUUUCUAACACAGUUCCGCCAUUUCCUCGUGGCAUUUAAAUUGCAAUCACAGGGAGGGAGUGUGGAUGAAUAAGCCUGUCCAGGUGAUGUUGAGCAUGGCCCAUGACUGCAUCUCUAGUCCUGACUGCAGAGUUUUAUAAAUCCUGGGGUUUCAAGUUCACCUCUCAAUGCUCUCAGUUGAAGCUCCAAGGACUCUGAAGUAAACCAGGCAUGAACUCACAGGCACUCACGCUUCACUACAGCCCUCGAGAGAUGUAUCC